AGCAUAUCAAUAAGCGGAGGAAAAGAAACCAACAGGGAUUGCCCCAGUAACGGCGAGUGAAGCGGCAACAGCUCAAAUUUGAAAUCUGGCCCCAGGCCCGAGUUGUAAUUUGCAGAGGAUGCUUUUGGCGCGGUGCCUUCCGAGUUCCCUGGAACGGGACGCCAUAGAGGGUGAGAGCCCCGUACGGUUGGACACCAAGCCUUUGUAAAGCUCCUUCGACGAGUCGAGUAGUUUGGGAAUGCUGCUCUAAAUGGGAGGUACAUUUCUUCUAAAGCUAAAUAUUGGCCAGAGACCGAUAGCGCACAAGUAGAGUGAUCGAAAGAUGAAAAGCACUUUGAAAAGAGGGUUAAACAGCACGUGAAAUUGUUAAAAGGGAAGCGCUUGUGACCAGACUUGCGUCCGGUGAAUCACCCAGCUCUCGCGGCUGGGGCACUUCGCCGGCACAGGCCAGCAUCAGCUUGCCGUCGGGGACAAAAGCUUCAGGAACGUGGCUCCUCUCGGGGAGUGUUAUAGCCUGUUGCAUAAUACCCUUCGGCGGGCUGAGGUACGCGCUCCGCAAGGAUGCUGGCGUAAUGGUCAUCAGCGACCCG
rnacentral:rRNA from 1 species